GACGAACGCUGGCGGCGUGCCUAAUACAUGCAAGUCGAACGCUUCUUUCCUCCCGAGUGCUUGCCCUCAAUUGGAAAGAGGAGUGGCGGACGGGUGAGUAACACGUGGGUAACCUACCCAUCAGAGGGGGAUAACACUUGGAAACAGGUGCUAAUACCGCAUAACAGUUUAUGCCGCAUGGCAUAAGAGUGAAAGGCGCUUUCGGGCGUUGUUGAUGGUUGGACCCGCGGUGCAUUAGCUGGUUGGUGGGGUAACGGCUCACCAAGGCAACGAUGCAUAGGCGACCGGUGAGGGUGAUCGGCCACACUGGGACUGAAACACGGCCCAGACUCCUACGGGAGGCAGCAGUAGGGAAUCUUCGGCAAUGGACGAAAGUCUGACCGAACAACGCCGCGUGAGUGAAGAAGGUUUUCGGAUCGUAAAACUCUGUUGUUAGAGAAGAACAAGGACGUUAGUAACUGAACGUCCCCUGACGGUAUCUAACCAGAAAGCCACGGCUAACUACGUG
rnacentral:rRNA from 1 species